rnacentral:rRNA from 1 species
AGUAAAAGUCGUAACAAGGUCUCCGUUGGUGAACCAGCGGAGGGAUCAUUACUGAGUUUUCUAAACUCCCAAACCCUUGAGAACAUACCUUUGUUGCCUCGGCGGAAGCGCCGCCCUGGGAUGGCCUACCCUGUAGCGCCUUACCCUGGACGGCGCCCCCCGCCGGUGGUCUUCUAAACUCUGUUUUAUCGUGUCACUUCUGAGGAUUAUUAUAAAAUUAGUUAAAACUUUCAACAACGGAUCUCUUGGUUCUGGCAUCGAUGAAGAACGCAGCGAAAUGCGAUAAGUAAUGUGAAUUGCAGAAUUCAGUGAAUCAUCGAAUCUUUGAACGCACAUUGCGCCCAUUAGUAUUCUAGUGGGCAUGCCUGUUCGAGCGUCAUUUCAACCCAUCAAGCCCUAUUUUUUGCUUGGCGUUGGGAGAACGCGGGGCCCUGGAGCCCCGCGCCUCCUCAAAUCCAUCGGCGGAGUCGUAGCGACCCAAGCGUAGUAAUUCUUUCUCGCUUCAGGUGUUUUGCUGCUGGCGUCUAGCCGCUAAACCCCCUAUUCUUUUUAGGUUUGACCUCGGAUCAGGUAGGAAUACCCGCUGAACUUAAGCAUAUCAAUAAGCGGAGGA